CCCAAAUUUAAAUUUUGAUAAGUUUUACAAUUGUUUUUACUGCUUUUUAAUGUUUAUUUCCUUUAAAUAAAAGCCUCCCAAUUAUUAGCUAUUGCUCAGAAUGCAAACUAAAGGUCGUACUUGGCGUAAAAGACAAAAUAAAAGUGAAAAAGCAACGUCCUUAGCAUAUGGACAAGAGUACAUUACAUUGUUCCAAUGGGCAAAGCACAAUGGUGUUUUCUUUCAUAAAAUGAAACCAGCCAUCUUUCCUGGCACUGGCAGGGGAUUAAUGGCAACAAGACAGAUAAAUGUCGGUGAUUUGUUGAUCGCUGUUCCAAAACGAUUGCUGAUCACUGAACAAAUGCUAAGGUAUAUUAUAUAUUCACUAUUCCUACUUUGUAGUAUUGUAUUUGUACUUAGAUUUUAGUUGUUGUCUGUCUAUUAAGUAUAAAUAAUACAUAGAUUGUUUUAUUUAUCAGGUUGACAUUCAUGGGGGAUGCCCUCAUAUUUAUUCAUUAGAGUACCCCCCCCCCCCCGUGGAAGAAUUUCUUGAGAUCUUCCCCUCCCUGCAACUUUACAAGUCCCUGUCCAAUUUUACCAGUACACCCACCCCCUGUACAAAAAAGUCCUUUCUUCUGGAAAUUUAUAAGAACCAUCCCCACCCUGCCUUGAAAUUUUACAAGAGUAAAGAAUUGACAUCUCAAUCUGAUUAUUGUCCAGCAACAUGAUGUGUUCAUUAAAUUCACAUAUAAAACCUUUCAAAUAUUUUAGGAAUUAUUUUCUUGGUAUACCAACUCCACCAAAAACCCCAG